UACAGAGGGGGCAAGCGUUAUUCGGAAUUAUUGGGCGUAAAGGGCGCGUAGGCGGCCUGGCAAGUGGAAGGUGAAAUCCCUCGGCUUAACCGAGGAACUGCCCUCCAAACUGCUUGGCUUGAGUCCGGGAGAGGUGAGUGGAAUUCCCAGUGUAGCGGUGAAAUGCGUAGAUAUUGGGAGGAACACCAGUGGCGAAGGCGGCUCACUGGACCGGUACUGACGCUGAGGCACGAAAGCGUGGGGAGCAAACAGG
rnacentral:rRNA from 1 species